rnacentral:rRNA from 1 species
UGCGCAGGCGGUUGGGUGUGUCAGAUGUGAAAUCCCGAGGCUCAACCUCGGAACUGCGUCUGAAACUACUCGACUAGAGUACUGGAGAGGGUAACGGAAUUCACGGUGUAGCAGUGAAAUGCGUAGAUAUCGUGAGGAACACCAGAGGCGAAGGCGGUUACCUGGACAGUUACUGACGCUCAGGCACGAAAGCAUGGGGAGCAAAAGGGAUUAGAUACCCCUGUAGUCCAUGCCCUAAACGGUGCACACUAGGUCUUAGCGGAUUCGACCCCACUAGGGCCCAAGCUAACGCGUUAAGUGUGCCGCCUGAGGACUACGGUCGCAAGACUAAA